rnacentral:rRNA from 1 species
AUUGAACGCUGGCGGAAUGCUUUUCACAUGCAAGUCGAGCGGCAGCGCGGUCUUCGGACUGGCGGCGAGCGGCGAACGGGUGAGUAAUACAUCGGAACAUGCCCAGUCGUGGGGGAUAACACUUCGAAAGAAGUGCUAAUACCGCAUACGUCCUGAGGGAGAAAGCGGGGGAUCGCAAGACCUCGCGCGAUUGGAGUGGCCGAUGUCAGAUUAGCUAGUUGGUGGGGUAAAGGCCUACCAAGGCAACGAUCUGUAGCUGGUCUGAGAGGAUGAUCAGCGACACUGGGACUGAGACACGGCACAGACUCCUACGGGAGGCAGCAGUGGGUAAUGUUGGACAAUGGGGGCAACCCUGAUUCAGCCAUUCCGCGUGAGUGAAGAAGGCCUUCGGGUUGUAAAGCUCUUUCGGCAGGAACGAAACGGCGAGCUCUAACAUAGCUCGCUAAUGACGGUACCUGAAGAAGAAGCACCGGCUAACUACGUGCCAGCCGCCGCCGUAAUAC